rnacentral:rRNA from 1 species
CCUACGGGUGGCAGCAGUGAGGAAUAUUGGUCAAUGGACGAGAGUCUGAACCAGCCAAGUAGCGUGAAGGAUGACUGCUCUAUGGGUUGUAAACUUCUUUUAUAUGGGAAUAAAAUUUUCCACGUGUGGGAUUUUGUAUGUACCAUAUGAAUAAGGAUCGGCUAACUCCGUGCCAGCAGCCGCGGUAAUACGGAGGAUCCGAGCGUUAUCCGUAUUUAUUGGGUUGAAAGGGUGCGUAGGUGGAUUGUUAAGUCAGUGGUGAAAGUUUGCGGCUCAACCGUAAAAUUGCAGUUGAAACUGGCAGUCUUGAGUACAGUAGAGGUGGGCGGAAUUCGUGGUGUAGCGGUGAAAUGCUUAGAUAUCACGAAGAACUCCGAUUGCGAAGGCAGUUCACUGGACUGCAACUGACACUGAGGCUCGAAAGUGUGGGUAUCAAACAGGAUUAGAUACCCGAGUAGUC